CCAGUUGUUCUUACCUGUUGUGAGGCUUGUAUUCGCUAGGUUCUUCUCAGGAACUUCCCAAACCAAACCAUGUUGACAAACUUUGCUCCUGCCUCUGCGGCCUCCUAACCUUAUCUUCUCACAGAAUUAUCCUAAGGAAGGCAUUCUCUGAGAAGCUCAAACUGUCUCAAACUGCUGUGACCUCGCACGCUAAUACCCCCAUUGGUACAACUCACCAUUUUAUUAAAAGCAAUACAAUUCUUGCAUUCAUUUGAUCUGAUCUGGAUUUUUACUUUUGCUUUGUCCAUACCAGCAGAGGUAAAACAUCCAGAGGAAAGAAAGAGAGAAGAUACCACACCCUGG
rnacentral:lncRNA from 1 species